AGACCCGAAACCCGGUGAUCUAGCCAUGGGCAGGUUGAAGGUUGGGUAACACUAACUGGAGGACCGAACCGACUAAUGUUGAAAAAUUAGCGGAUGACCUGUGGCUGGGGGUGAAAGGCCAAUCAAACCGGGAGAUAGCUGGUUCUCCCCGAAAGCUAUUUAGGUAGCGCCUCGUGAAUUCAUCUCCGGGGGUAGAGCACUGUUUCGGCUAGGGGGCCAUCCCGGCUUACCAACCCGAUGCAAACUGCGAAUACCGGAGAAUGUUAUCACGGGAGACACACGGCGGGUGCUAACGUCCGUCGUGAAGAGGGAAACAACCCAGACCGCCAGCUAAGGUCCCAAAGUCAUGGUUAAGUGGGAAACGAUGUGGGAAGGCCCAGACAGCCAGGAUGUUGGCUUAGAAGCAGCCAUCAUUUAAAGAAAGCGUAAUAGCUCACUGGUCGAGUCGGCCUGCGCGGAAGAUGUAACGGGGCUAAACCAUGCACCGAAGCUGCGGCAGCGAACGUAUCACCCAAGACAACUUUACGGAGUUGACGAUUGACGGAGCGAAGCGACGUCAAAGCGUUCAUUAAAGUCGAGUUGGCUUAGGGAUACGUUCGUUGGGUAGGGGAGCGUUCUGUAAGCCUGUGAAGGUGUGUCGUGAGGCAUGCUGGAGGUAUCAGAAGUGCGAAUGCUGACAUAAGUAACGAUAAAGCGGGUGAAAAGCCCGCUCGCCGGAAGACCAAGGGUUCCUGUCCAACGUUAAUCGGGGCAGGGUGAGUCGACCCCUAAGGCGAGGCCGAAAGGCGUAGUCGAUGGGAAACGGGUUAAUAUUCCCGUACUUGGUGUUACUGCGAAGGGGGGACGGAGAAGGCUAUGUUGGCCGGGCGACGGUUGUCCCGGUUUAAGCGUGUAGGUGUGUGUUCCAGGUAAAUCCGGUUCACUUUAACACUGAGGCGUGACGACGAGGCACUACGGUGCUGAAGCAACAAAUGCCCUGCUUCCAGGAAAAGCCUCUAAGCAUCAGGUAACAUCAAAUCGUACCCCAAACCGACACAGGUGGUCAGGUAGAGAAU
rnacentral:rRNA from 1 species